UAGGGAAUCUUCGGCAAUGGGGGCAACCCUGACCGAGCAACGCCGCGUGAGUGAAGAAGGUUUUCGGAUCGUAAAGCUCUGUUGUUAAAGAAGAACACGUAUGAGAGUAACUGUUCAUACGUUGACGGUAUUUAACCAGAAAGUCACGGCUAACUACGUGCCAA
rnacentral:rRNA from 1 species